GUCCCGUCACGCCCGUGCGGUGCAAACAUCAACAUUUCUGAGCUCAAGAAGAAGAAGAAGAAGAAAGCGACAUUAAUGGCUCUCUGAAACUCCGUCAGAGGACUCCAUUGAUGUUCUCUCUCUCUCUCUCUCUCUCUUCGAUCCAUUGCCUUUCCCUCUCUUUCUCUCUCUUGUCUCUCUCUCCCUCUGUCUCUGAUGCAAAUGUCGCGGAGCUAAAGGACACGUUAUUAUUAAUCACCGAGGACAAAUUGUGAACAUUUUCCAUGGCGACCACAGCUACCACCACCACCACCGCCUCCACCACAACUACCGCUCAACUCAAGCUCCAAAACCCACCCACCAAGCCCAAACGCCGCAAGUGCCGCGAGACCACCAUUUCCACCGCCCCUACCCCCUCUUCCUCCUCCUCCUCCUCCUCCUCCUCCGCCGCCGACCGCCCUCCCAAGCCCUGCCCGCCGGUCGUCUCUACUCCCGACGACGACUCCUGGUGCUGCCCCGCCUCCAGGCCGCCGCCUCCGCCGCAGCGGCCCGACCUGACCCUCGCCCACGCCUUCCCUCCCGGCUCGCCCUUCCGGAUCAGGUUCUCGCCCGGGAGCCUGUCGCCGGUCAUGGACUUCGCGGCGACCUCCGUCAACGGCCACUCUCCGAGCGACGACGCCUUCGCGUCGGGGGGAUUCACGAAGUUCAACUCUAUGCUCACCGCCGGUCUCCUGAACCCGAUGUCGCCUCCACCGGCGGCGGGGGCUUCCAUGCCCGAGAAGGCCCGAUCCAGCCCGACCCUCUUCGAGAUGAUGGCCAGCGAACCCGACAUGAUCCACCCGAGGGUGCAAAUGCAAAUCCCAGUUCACGCCUCGAGCGUGAGACCCCCCUUGCCCAUUCUCGACAAGCAAGCCCUGACCUUGCAGCGAAUAUCGGAGGUCCUGGCCUCGAGAAGUCCAGGGAGUCUCUUCAACGACUCUGCUUCGAGCGACAUUAAACUCACGUUGAGCUCUAAGGAUGGGGCUAUCUGUGUUCCUAUGAAUGUGCAUAGGGAAAUACUUGCGGCGAAUAGCCAGUUUUUCGCUGUGAAGCUGUCGGAUCAGUGGAUGAAGCAGCAGCAGCGGACAACGGCGGCGGCGCCCAUCGUGGAGAUUGCGGACUGCGAUGAUGUGGAGGUUUACGUGGAAACGUUGAGAUUAAUGUAUUGCGAGGAUCUGAGGAGGAGGCUCAUGAAGGAGGAUGUGAGCAGAGUUCUUGGUAUCUUGAAGGUUUCAGCGGCGAUUGGUUUUGAUGCUGGGGUGUUAUCUUGUUUGGAGUACUUAGAAGCUGCUCCAUGGGCCGAGGAUGAAGAAGAGAAGGUGGCUUCUCUGUUAUCAAAUCUUCGAUUUGAUGGAGCCGCGGCUGGUGAAGUUCUGAAGAGGGUCUCUAUGGAAGUUAGUAAAGGAGUAGUUGCGGGGAAUGACAAUGAGGAAGUGUUGCUUAAGCUUUUACACGUGGUCCUUGAAGGAAAGGAUGAAAAGGCGAGGCGGGAUAUGAAAGGGUUAGUGGCUAAGAUGCUUCGAGAGAACCCAUCUCAGAGUGAUAUUCGGAAAGAGUCCUUAUAUGCUGCCUGUGAUGGGUGCUUGCAAUCGCUUCGUGAGCAUUUUCUGCUAGCUGCAGAAUCAGAGUUGAAAGAUGUAGCUCAGAUUGCACGGCAGGCCAAUAAUUUGCACUGGCUUUUGGAUAUCUUGAUCGAUAGACAGAUUGCCGAAGACUUCCUAACAUCUUGGGCUUCUCGGUCUGAUAUGUCGGAUGCACACCCUAAAGUACCGGCUGUUCACAGAUUCGAAGUUAGUAGAGUUACAGCGCGGUUGUUUGUGGGGAUCGGGAAAGGGCAGCUUUUGGCUUCAAAAGAUGCAAGGUGCCUCUUAUUGCAGACAUGGUUGGUGCCGUUCUACAAUGAUUUUGGGUGGAUGAGGAGGGCGUCCAGGGGUCUUGAUAGGCACUUAAUUGAAGAUGGCCUUAGCAAUACGAUUCUCACACUGCCUCUAGCUUGGCAACAGGAAAUAAUGCUUGCUUGGUUCGACAGAUUCUUGAAUGCAGGUGAAGAUUGUCCGAACAUCCAAAGAGGUUUUGAAGUUUGGUGGCGAAGGGCUUUCUGGAGGAGAAAUGGCGACCAGCAGCAGCCACGGUUGCUACAGCUUACUGCAGGAACUGCUGAGAAUUCCUAGAUCGUUUAUCUUGAUCGAAGGCUCCUUCUCAAUAGGAGGAUGGUCUUGUUAAACUAAUUCCAGUGGGCUUUUAUGACAUGAACAUGGGGGAUGGUUCAACCUGGUUCAGUUGGAAACUGGAAAAGAUCGAACUCAAUAGCAAAGACAAAUAGUCCGAGAUCAAAGCUCCAAGCCGAUGCAUUUCCUAGUGAUUGUGAACUCUUUUAGAGUUCCAAGGAGUGGAUCGCACAACUAGAUAUCUAAACUUCAAUUGCGUGACUCUGAUGCUGUAAAUGGAGUUGCAGUGUUCUCGAAGGCAGGAUAAUUGGUUUGGUACACUCUUAGACGAGGUUAGGGAACAUUGCUCUCUCCCGGCUCGGGAUACGUUAACUGGAGAGUGUAAGUUGGUUGCCAAGCGAUGUUCAGGACAUUCGUCCUCACACAUGGUUUCAGUGUAGAUAGCGGAAUCUAAUUCCAGGUGAUAUAUGCAAUAUUUGUUGCGCAGUGUAGAGCCACUUGUUUGUCUGGAUAUUUUCUGUGUUUCUCUGGAAAAUCAUGCCGUUAGCUUCUGUUCUUCCUGUUGUGGGAAGAAUGCAUUUUCAAAUUCCGUUGCAGUUCUUGUGCUAAAUUAAGUUUGGUCCGAGCUUUGAGCUAGCAAAGUCAAAUGUAUGUUGAUUGUAGCUUUUUGUCUGGUUCUUCCGGCAG